GGCUGCUCGAUUUAAAGAACAGUCUGGCCUGCCCACUGAUUUUAUUUAAGGGCCGCGGUAUCCUGACCGUGCGAAGGUAGCAUAAUAAUUAGUCUUUUAAUUGAAGACCGGAAUGAAAGGUCGGACAAAAAGCAACCUGUCUUAACUAGACUCCUCUAAAUUAACUUUUAAGUGAAAAGGCUUAAAUGCUCUCAUAGGACGACAAGACCCUAUAAAACUUCAUAUAUAUACCUUAUUUUUCGAUUUAUUAGUGAAAAGCUGAAUACCUAAAAUGUAUUUUGUUGGGGCGACAAAAGUAAAACUACUAACUGCUUUUUUAUAUAAACACGUAUAAGUGAACUUCCUGAUCCUAUUCUUAAGAAUAAAAGAAAAAGUUACUUUAGGGAUAACAGCGUAAUUUUUUUUGAGAGUCCUUAUCAACAAAAAAGUUUGCGACCUCGAUGUUGAAUUAAAAUAACCUUCUAGUGCAGCAGCUAGUAAGGUAGGUCUGUUCGACCUUUAAAGUUUUACAUGAUUUGAGUUCAAACCGGCGUGAG
rnacentral:rRNA from 1 species